UCGAGAAUCUUCGGCAAUGAGCGCAAGCUUGACCGAGCGACGCCGCGUGGAGGAUGAAGGCCUUCGGGUUGUAAACUCCUGUCAGGGGGGAGGAAAGCUAGGCGGGCUCUCCCGUUUAGUUGACCUAGCCUCAGAGGAAGGACGGGCUAAAUUCGUGCCAGCAGCCGCGGUAAUACGAAUCGUCCAAACGUUGUUCGGAUUUACUGGGUUUAAAGGGCGCGUAGGCGGUGCGUUAAGUCGGCGGUGAAAUACUUCGGCUCAACCGGAGAAUUGCCGCUGAAACUAGCGUGCUCGAGGGAGGUAGAGGUGCGUGGAACUUCCGGUGGAGCGGUGAAAUGCGUUGAUAUCGGAAGGAACACCUGUGGCGAAAGCGAUGCACUGGACCUCAUCUGACGCUGAGGCGCGAAAGCCAGGGGAGCGAACG
rnacentral:rRNA from 1 species